UACGUAGGUGGCAAGCGUUGUCCGGAUUUAUUGGGUUUAAAGGGUGCGUAGGUGGCUUUGUAAGUCAGUGGUGAAAUCUCGGAGCUUAACUCCGCAACUGCCAUUGAUACUGCUUAGCUUGAAUCAAGUAGAGGUGGAUGGAAUAUUACAUGUAGCGGUGAAAUGCUUAGAUAUGUAAUAGAACACCGAUUGCGAAGGCAGUUCACUAUGCUUGUAUUGACACUGAGGCACGAAAGCGUGGGGAGCAAACAGG
rnacentral:rRNA from 1 species